rnacentral:rRNA from 1 species
CUUAAGCAUAUCAAUAAGCGGAGGAAAAGAAACCAACAGGGAUUGCCCUAGUAACGGCGAGUGAAGCGGCAACAGCUCAAAUUUGAAAUCUGGCUCUUUCAGAGUCCGAGUUGUAAUUUGCAGAGGGCGCUUUGGUGUUGGCAGCGGUCCAAGUUCCUUGGAACAGGACGUCACAGAGGGUGAGAAUCCCGUACGUGGUCGCUACGUUCGCCGUGUAAAGCCCCUUCGACGAGUCGAGUUGUUUGGGAAUGCAGCUCUAAAUGGGAAGAGUAAUUGGGUUUACCCCUA